UCUGCUCUAGAAAUGCGCACCUUCUCCGCUUUUAGUCUUUGGCCCGUUUCUGAGACAGCCACAAAGAACCGGUCUGAUGCCGAAAAGGUCACUGCAGAGAAGCACUACUGAAUGAAGGAGAUUAGCUCAACGGUGGAUGCUUGCCUGAUACUGAAGAGCCUCUGCAGUGAUUCAGAUUAUGAGCAGGGUAACGACACUGCUACCGUUUCCUCGUCCUACAUAAGCGACCAAGCUGCAUACGACAAGUUGCUCCAGUCGUAUCCAGUGACGUUGGACGGGUUCCAGUAAAAAUGGUCUGAGCGGACAUUCCUGGCAGGAACCGCGAUGCGAUCCGAACUGUGGCCACACUGUACCGUUGCAUCCCUAGUGACUACAGGAAAGUGGUGUCAAGACAGGAGGGCUUAGCAACCCAUAGUCCUACAGUAGAGAGGGAGAGUGGCUACAUCUCUUUUUAUUUUAUUUUUUUAUAAUUAUGGACAGGUAGAUGGCAAGGACCUAAUCCUCUUUAUCGUUUGGCACUGAAAAAUCUUCAUGCAAUACAAAAUAUGUUUGAGUACUCUAGUUGACCGUAACCCUCAAAAACCCACAACAAUAUUAAUGAAGCCAUAAAAACCAGUCACUACUGCUAGUACUCUCAAUAGAGCUUAUAUCGGGCCCAAACAGUCCAGACCAAUCCUACCUGUACAUGUUUCAUUGUGAUUCAGAGGCCGAUCCCAAUUUAAACCAGGCGUUUAUUUAGUAAGUAAAGCUUUAAGACAGACAUUUUAACUUCAAUACACAGCUGUUUGAAUGAGAGAACUCUGUUCAAAAUGAUGUUAAUAAACAGUGAAACACAAAAGAA